AAAUUCUUCCUGUACCUCUCGCCUCCCUCCCCCAAACACUGCCCCUUUGUGUUUUAGCCCCUGGCAGUGCAUACACAAUAAGUGCACACACAUGCACACACAUGCACACACAUGCAUGCAUGGUCAUAAACCAGCUCUACACACCCCCUUCUCACUGAGAUCACAUUCACUACAGAGCAGUUGCAGCCCGUCAAACCCCCCUUUGGCAUUUUCUGCAGAUUCCUACUCACACUUUUCCUGCUGUCUAACCCAGGACCAAGACGUCCCAUCUGCAGAUAGGCGUUUUAGGAGGACAGGAACAGGACAGGACACGCACCUUCUUGCACCACACAGCAGCACCACCACCACCACCACAGACAUGUCGGACUCCGAAGCCGCCGCUGCCCCCGCCGAGGCCCCCGUCCCCGCUGCUUGUGCUAGCAUCAAGGCUGACCUGGACAAAUGUGUGGCCGAGAAGGGAGCUGAGGGCUGCAAAGAUCUGAUGGAGGCCUUCGCUGCUUGUGUGAAGAGCGCUGCCGAGGGGACGUCAUGAGGAGUCGCCCUCCAGCCUCCAAUGUCCACUGCACUGAGUCCUCCAAGUUCCCAGCAUUCCCUUCUGCACAACAGCACUGGACUGAAUGAUGACAACAACGAUGAUGAUGAUGAUGAUCGUAGCGCAACAUACACCGUGUUGAUUCGGGCUGAGUUUGGGAUCUGGCGGCAGUAACCACAGUUUCCUCCCCCCUCCUGUUUUAGGCUUAUCUGGUGUCCCUGUCUUACCGCCAUCCCUCUUCUCCCUCUACAGCUGACAUGCAGUACAUGGGCAAUUCCAGAGGGCCGAUGGGCUGUGAUGUAAAUUGUCGACUUGAAAUGAAUACUUAUAAAAGGAAAUAAAAGUAUCAAAAAAUUGGUAUAAUAAGAAUCUGUGGUUUCUGGACUCUUGUGUCACCAUUCUGAUGGUAGAUGUAGGAAAAAAGGAACACAGUCACGGUUUUGAGAGUACGGAUAUAUUUUAUCACCACUUGAAAUAGAUCUAAAGAAAACAAUCGUAACGUUUUAGUCCUAUACAACAUAAAGGGGCUGAAACGUGAGCAGUUGAACUCAAAAAGUUUAAACACCACAAAAUAACUGUUUAGUUGGCAACAGAAGAUGUUUGUGCUUCCUCAGUGAGUAUGUUGACCGAAUUGUUAAUCCAAUGUUAAUGAUCACUAGACUAUGAGAGUUAAGAACAGGUAUAUUGAAGUCCUUACUGUCUUUUCUUUCAAAAUAUUUGUUUUUUUCUGAUGUUUCCAAGGUGCAGUCAAAAAAUUUUGAGACUGAGCCCAUAAAAAACAAAAAUCAGACCUGAGUAGUCUCCUUGUGCAGUGAUACUCUGCUCCCAGUGCUCCUGCAGCACUUGUAGCACUCCCUGGAAUUCCUGUUAUGUAAACAUGUCAAACAGCAUCUGCAAUGGGGACUGAAUCUUCUCCAGUGUGUCAAAGCAGCGACUCUUCAAGUUGAAUUUCCUUAUGGGGAGGAGAAAGAAGUCACGGGGAGCUUACAGUGAGUAGGACAGGUGGGGAAGCGAUGAUGAUUUUGCUGUGGCCAAAAAACCCAUGUGUAGUCAGUGCAGUUUGACAGUCCAACCCUGGGGGACCAAGGCUUAGGAUAAGGAUUACUUACUGUGAUACACCAAACAGCCACAGCAUUUAAACCACCUGCCUAACAUUGUGUUGGUGUCACACGUGUCACCAACACAUCUCUGACCUGUUGGAGCAUCGACGCUGGACCUCUGCAGGUGUCCUGUGGUGUCUGGUAAAGGGACAUUGGCAGUGGAUUCUUUGGAUCCUGUUGUUUGCUCGGUGGGGCCUCUGUUAAUCGGGCUUGUUUCGGCAUCUCGUAAAUGCUUGACCUUGAUUGGGAUUUGGGGAGUUUGGAAGCCAGGUCAGCGCCUUGGGCUCUUUGUUGCAAUCUUCCAGCCAUUCCUGGGCAGAUUUUUACAAUGUGGUGCAUUGUCCUGCUGGGGUAGGUAACUCCUAUCAUGGAGUGCAGUUGGCACUGAAGUGGGGAAGUAUAUACACAGUGUUAAGGUGGAUGAUACAUGGCAACGUAACAUCCACCUAAAUGCCAGCACCCAAGGUUUCCAAGCAGAACGUUGUGUUUUAAUAAAAUCCAUGUGAUACUCUUCAUCUGUCAUUGGUUUGAAUGUUAAAGGGUCAAUCUAUAAUUGCAGGACUUUUUGUAGCAUAGUUGACAUUUUUGCUGUUUUCAGGCCGAAAAUCAACAACUAUAGUCAAUCACCACAUGGCAUUUUUUGAGAAAGAUUCUUCUAAAUAUUAUAUAUACAAUUGAGUAAAAUUGACAUGAGAGUUAUUUCUAAAGAUAUUGUAGUAAACCAGUGGACAUGCCAUAAAUCCACACUUGACUCACACACUACUUUAUAUUAAAUAAGUCAGAAAGCCUUGGAGUCUG
ensembl:lncRNA